UACGUAGGCAGCGAGCGUUGUUCGGAGUUACUGGGCGUAAAGGGCGUGCAGGCGGUCUGUUAAGUGCAGGGUGAAAGCUCCCGGCUCAACUGGGAGAGGUCCUUGCAUACUGGCGGACUUGAGGGGGGUAGAGGAAAGUGGAAUUCCCGGUGUAGUGGUGAUAUGCGUAGAUAUCGGGAGGAACACCUGUGGCGAAGGCGGCUUUCUGGGCCCUACCUGACGCUGAGACGCGAAAGCGUGGGGAGCGAACCGG
rnacentral:rRNA from 1 species